UUUGGCAGUGGUGAAAGUUUCGUCCUUGAAAACUCGGUAGUCCCAUUCGCUGUCCGAAAAAAGGUGAAGCUUUCAUCUUGUUGAGAUUUUUCCUUCUUCGUGAAUGUCCAGAAUGUCACGUCCGAUAGCUAGUUGAAAUCCGGCCAUAUUUUAUAUAUUGUUGUGUUCACUGGAAGUAGAAAAUCCCAUGUUGUAAGUGGACUAGUCAAUAAAGACAUAAUGUUUAGUGGACCUAGAGAGAUGAAUAACUGGAAAACUUUGGUACAAAAGGAUAAGUUUAUCUUUUAUGAAUCAAUGAUGUGAAGAUGUUUUGUCUUGUGGGUGCGCAGCCAUUUUAAUGUUAGUUUUCUUUCCUUUCAUAUGUUUUCCAGUAAACUGUGAAGUCAUGGAAAGUCUUCACUUUUGGUUCAAAAUGGUGAAAUCAUGUUUACUUUUCUUUUCUUUUUUUCUCUUUUGGAGUUUUGCAAUAUAAAAGUUGGAAGUCUCAGAAAAAAUAGUAUUGUUAAUGUAUUUGAAAUUCAUAUGCGUGCUGAUGAUGAUUUGGUUGCGGGUCUCCAAUUUGAAAAGAAGUUGUUAGGACACUUAUAAAGUUAGUAUGGAUCAUGUCGGUAGAUGUAUAAUUCGUUAACCUUUACUAAACAUUUUGUGGGGAUUCUUGGUAAAAAUGAUAAUCUGUGCUAUUGGGUGUCGAUUGAAUCUUUUGAUUUCGUAACGGGAUGAGUUUGUGAGUAUAGAAUGUUGUUUUUUGAGCUAUGAAUGUGGUGCUUGAAAACUUGAUCUACUUCUUCAUACUAAUCUUUAUCCUUUUUUCUAGGCAUGAACUCGCUUGUCGAGUCCCUCGGAUUUCCUUCUCUCACAUUUCGUUGGGUUAGACCAGACUUGCAUCGAGUCAAACCUCAGAUCCAAGUCCCUACGGGACUGAUUUCUCACUGGUAUACAAUUAUAUAUGGCUGGUAUACCUUGGAAGCAGCUGCUUCAUACUACUACACCGAGCAAAAAUAAAAAAAAUGUAGGGGAAAUAAGCAAUUUUUCAAAUUAAACUAUUUUCUUGAAAACGAUCAUGGAAUUUAAAUUUCACUUUCUAGCUAUUUUAAUUUACUGACUGGUUCUAUAUCGUUUUUACACAACUUUUAUAUAGGUUUUAUACAAAUCUUAUACAUAAAUAUUCUAUACGGAAAUUAUACAGUUUUGAUACAUAAUUUAUAUAAUAAUUGUACAUUUGCACUUCAAAUUAAACUAUUUCCUUGAAAAUGGCUUUCAUCUUGUUGAGAUUUUUCCUUCUUCGUGAAUGUCCAGAAUGUCACGUCCGAUAGCUAGUUGAAAUCCGGCCAUAUUUUAUAUAUUGUUGUGUUCACUGGAAGUAGAAAAUCCCAUGUUGUAAGUGGACUAGUCAAUAAAGACAUAAUGUUUAGUGGACCUAGAGAGAUGAAUAACUGGAAAACUUUGGUACAAAAGGAUAAGUUUAUCUUUUAUGAAUCAAUGAUGUGAAGAUGUUUUGUCUUGUGGGUGCGCAGCCAUUUUAAUGUUAGUUUUCUUUCCUUUCAUAUGUUUUCCAGUAAACUGUGAAGUCAUGGAAAGUCUUCACUUUUGGUUCAAAAUGGUGAAAUCAUGUUUACUUUUCUUUUCUUUUUUUCUCUUUUGGAGUUUUGCAAUAUAAAAGUUGGAAGUCUCAGAAAAAAUAGUAUUGUUAAUGUAUUUGAAAUUCAUAUGCGUGCUGAUGAUGAUUUGGUUGCGGGUCUCCAAUUUGAAAAGAAGUUGUUAGGACACUUAUAAAGUUAGUAUGGAUCAUGUCGGUAGAUGUAUAAUUCGUUAACCUUUACUAAACAUUUUGUGGGGAUUCUUGGUAAAAAUGAUAAUCUGUGCUAUUGGGUGUCGAUUGAAUCUUUUGAUUUCGUAACGGGAUGAGUUUGUGAGUAUAGAAUGUUGUUUUUUGAGCUAUGAAUGUGGUGCUUGAAAACUUGAUCUACUUCUUCAUACUAAUCUUUAUCCUUUUUUCUAGGCAUGAACUCGCUUGUCGAGUCCCUCGGAUUUCCUUCUCUCACAUUUCGUUGGGUUAGACCAGACUUGCAUCGAGUCAAACCUCAGAUCCAAGUCCCUACGGGACUGAUUUCUCACUGGUAUACAAUUAUAUAUGGCUGGUAUACCUUGGAAGCAGCUGCUUCAUACUACUACACCGAGCAAAAAUAAAAAAAAUGUAGGGGAAAUAAGCAAUUUUUCAAAUUAAACUAUUUUCUUGAAAACGAUCAUGGAAUUUAAAUUUCACUUUCUAGCUAUUUUAAUUUACUGACUGGUUCUAUAUCGUUUUUACACAACUUUUAUAUAGGUUUUAUACAAAUCUUAUACAUAAAUAUUCUAUACGGAAAUUAUACAGUUUUGAUACAUAAUUUAUAUAAUAAUUGUACAUUUGCACUUCAAAUUAAAUUAUUUUCUUGAAAAUGAUUGGAAUUUAAAUUUCACUUUGUAGCUAUUUUAAUUUACUGAUUGGUUCUAUAUCGUUUUUACACAACUUUUAUACAGGUUUUACAAAAAUCUUAUACAUAAAUAUUCUAUACGGAAAUUAUACAGUUUUAAUACAUAAUUUAUAUAAUAGCUGUAUUUUUUUUUACACGUUUUAUACAAUAAUUAUAUAAUUUGUACACUUU
rnacentral:lncRNA from 1 species